rnacentral:lncRNA from 1 species
UACAGACUUGGGGUGCACCAGAUGACUAGGUCGUAAACCCUAUGCACUAGGGACUGUAGUCCAAGACAGUCAGAUCGUGAAUCCCAUGCCGAUGUAUCGAGCUGGGGCAGUUGUGGAGGCAGCCCCCUAGCACCCUAGCAUGGCAUCCAGGCAAAUCCCACUAUGAGGGUUCUAAAGUAUUGAGCAGCAUUGCAAAUGGAGAGGG